ACGAACGCUGGCGGCGUGCUUAACACAUGCAAGUCGAACGGAAAGGCCCCUUUGUGGGUCCUCGAGUGGCGAACGGGUGAGUAACACGUGAGUAACCUGCCCUUGACUUCGGGAUAACUUCAGGAAACUGGGGCUAAUACCGGAUAGGAAUCCUUGCUGCAUGGUGGGGGUUGGAAAGCUUCGGCGGUUUUGGAUGGACUCGCGGCUUAUCAGCUUGUUGGUGGGGUAGUGGCUUACCAAGGCUUUGACGGGUAGCCGGCCUGAGAGGGCGACCGGCCACAUUGGGACUGAGAUACGGCCCAGACUCCUACGGGAGGCAGCAGUGGGGAAUAUUGCACAAUGGGCGGAAGCCUGAUGCAGCAACGCCGCGUGCGGGAUGACGGCCUUCGGGUUGUAAACCGCUUUCAGCAGGGGCGAAGCUUGUGGUGACGGUACCUGCAGAAGAAGCACCGGCUAACUACGUG
rnacentral:rRNA from 1 species